UUAUCUGAGAGUUUGAUCCUGGCUCAGGAUGAACGCUGGCGGCGUGUCUAAGGCAUGCAAGUCGAGCGCACCUAUAUGCGAUUACAUCAAGAAUAGGUGAGCGGCAAACGGGAGCGUAACACCUUGGUAAUCUACCUCGAGGUCGUGAAUAGCCCUUGGAAACGAGGAGUAAUACACGAUGGUUAAAAGAGGUCUUAAGACUUUUUUUAUAAAGCUUUGGCGCCACGAGAUGAACCUAGGUCCUAUCAGCUUGUUGGUGGGGUAAUGGCCCACCAAGGCUAUGACGGGUAGCGGGUGUGAGAGCACGACCCGCCUCACUGGGACUGAGACACUGCCCAGACACCUACGGGUGGCUGCAGUCAAGAAUAUUCCUCAAUGCGCGAAAGCGUGAAGGAGCGACGCCGCGUGCCGGAUGAAGGCCUUCGGGUUGUAAACGGCUUUUUUCAGGGACGAACAAAUGACGGUACCUGGAGAAUAAGAGGUUGCUAACUCUGUGCCAGCAGCAGCGGUAAUACAGAGACCUCGAGCGUUAUCCGGAUUUAUUGGGCGUAAAGCGUCCGCAGGCUGUUUGAUAAGUCACAUGUCAAAUCUCCGGGCUCAACCUGGAUACUGCGUGUGAUACUGUCAGACUAGAGGCCGGGAGAGGCAUACGGAAUUGCCGGUGUAGCGGUAAAAUGCGUUAAUAUCGGCAAGAACACCAAAGGCGAAAGCAGUAUGCUGGAACGGUUCUGACGCUCAGGGACGAAAGCGUGGGGAGCGAAUGGGAUUAGAUACCCCAGUAGUCCACGCCCUAAACGAUGAAUGCUAGAUAUUGGAAGUAUCGACCCUUCCAGUGUCGUUGAACCAAGCUAACGCGUUAAGCAUUCCGCCUGGGGAGUACGACCGCAAGGUUAAAACUCAAAGGAAUAGACGGGGACCCGCACAAGCGGUGGAGCAUGUGGUUUAAUUCGACGGUAAGCGUGGAACCUUACCUGGGCUUGAAAGAUAGCUGCAAGCCGCCUGAAAAGGUGGCCGCCUUCGAGGGUGCUAUCUAGGUGCUGCAUGGUCGUCGUCAGCUCGUGCCGUGAGGUGUACCCUUAAGUGGGGUAACGAGCGCAACCCUCGUCCUGUGUUAUUUUUCCACAGGAGACUGCCCUCGCAAGAGGGAGGAAGGCGAGGAUGACGUCAGAUCAGCAUGGCCCUUACGUCCAGGGCGACACACGUGCUACAAUGGCCGGAUACAAUGGGUUGCCAAACCGCAAGGUGGAGCUAAUCCUCAAAGCCGGCCCCAGUUCGGAUUGAGGGCUGCAACUCGCCCUCAUGAAGCCGGAAUCGCUAGUAAUGGCCGAUCAGCCACGCGGCCGUGAAUACGUUCUCGGGUCUUGUACUCACCGCCCGUCAAGUCAAGAGAGUUGGUAACACCCGAACGUCGCCGUAGGGCGGCGGAAGGUGGGAUCAAUGAUAGGGACUAAGUCGUAACAAGGCAUCCGUAGCGGAAGCUGUGGAUGGAUCACCUCCUUU
rfam:Parcubacteria (Thrbacteria) bacterium GW2011_GWF2_41_16 TT48_C0003, whole genome shotgun sequence.